GGGGAUUUAGCUCAGUGGUAGAGCGCUUGCCUAGGAAGUGCAAGGCCCUGGGCUUGGGCUCGAUCCCCA
rnacentral:tRNA from 1 species